rnacentral:rRNA from 1 species
UACAGAGGUCUCAAGCGUUGUUCGGAUUCAUUGGGCGUAAAGGGCGCGUAGGCGGCGGGGUCAGUCGGGUGUGAAAUCUUGGGGCUUAACCCCGAAACGGCACUCGAAACUGCCCGGCUGGAGGGCCGGAGAGGAGAUCAGAAUUCACGGUGUAGCGGUGAAAUGCGCAGAUAUCGGGAAGAACACCCGUGGCGAAGGCGGCUCUCUGGAACGCAACUGACGCUGAGACGCGAAAGCGUGGGGAGCAAACAGG